rnacentral:lncRNA from 1 species
GGCCAAGAGCUGGAGCAAGCGCGAUCUGCCGGUGCCUUGGCGGUCUGGCGUGCAGACAGACGUUCUCGGGGACGUCUAGAUGGAGAAAGUGCCCGGCGCCGUUGCUCCUUGUGCGUGUGAACGGAGACGACCUCAGCCCGUGACGGUCUCAGUUUGCGGAGCGCUUCACUCGCGUGAAAGAAACCACGUACAGAGGUCUGGACGUUGGCCAUGGUUUUCCCUACCCCACCACAGUGCACUUGACAGACUCUAGGAAGAACAGUCAACAGAAACCAAAGAAAGUUCUCCAAUGAGGCCAUAAGGCUCCCAGGGGAAGCGGCACUGGAAGUAGGACGCCCAGGUUGAAGGCUUAACGGAUAAGGGCAUUGCCAGAAACAGAGGGUCCAUAGAGGUUCGGCUGAAGCCCUUGCUACCUGGCUGGAGACCCUCAGUUUUAAUCAUAGUGGAUGCAGCUGAAACCUUUUGUGCUUCUCUUUGGGGCACCAUUCUUCUCAAGACUAGUAGGCCCAGGAGCAGAGUCAGAGGGAGGCCCAAACCACCACCCAGGAGCAGUGUCAGUGGAAGGCCUGAGUCACCACCCAGAAGCUAAAAGCCUAGGGGAAGUGUCACCAGGAGACCUGAGUCACUAUACAGGAGCAGUGUCAGAGGAGGGCCUGGGAGUGGGGAGUGACCACCAGAAGUGACAACAGCAACAGCUCCCAACAGUGACUUCCAGAAGCUAUCACAAGAAGUUCCUCUGGGAAACAGCACCUGUAUCCUAGCCAGCAUCCAUUGCCACUUCUGGGUUCCAGAUACCCUGCUGCUACAGUGACCACUGGAACCUCAGCCCUACCUACACCUAGAAGAGCAAUCACCGGAGCCGUGACCCGGCCUCCAACAGGAGGAGCAUCCACCAUAGAUAUAGUUCCACCUGCACCUCAAGAAGUGACCACCUGAGCCUUGGGCCCACUUACACCGGAGGCUCUGCCCCGCUUGCAC